CGAUAUAAUUAAUCGCUCAAAUUCAUCGCUCACGCAUGCAAAAACACAUCCCUGAGGCAUAUGUACAUAAAUACCAUUUCCUUUAUUGUCUUUUCUAGAACGAGUUGUCUGUGCGUAACUCUACAACAAAAUGCUUUACGAAUUGGCACUUGAGACCCUUAAUAUAGUGUUCGAUAUCUUUCAGAAGUUGGUAAGUGUUUGCCCCGAUGUGAUUCUUUGCAGAAAUUAAAACCAUUUUUAUAUUGUAGAAGAAUGCAACUGCCAACUACGAAGUGUGGAACCUAAUUGCACUUGAGGAAAUCAUUUAAAUUUGUGACAAAUGCACGUACGUACAUGUCUUCCAUGACCGUUCCCACAGCCAAACAGCACUUUCUCAUUCCACACAAAUAUAUGAAUAACCAGCGAGAGUCAAGGGAAAUCAAUUAUUAUGCCUUUCCCAUUUAAAUUAUAACACUUUCCCAUGAAAUUUCUGACCAACGUUCCAUCAACUAAUCCAUUUGGACAUUUUAAACUUCCCCGCAACUGCAACUGUGAUUUUUACCCAAACACUCUUUUUUCCAGAGAUUGAUGACGACGUUCCCGUUGCGGGUGCUGGCUGCUGAUGGUUGGGGGGGAUGGCGUUUUUGUCAGGCAUAGCCAAAGCCAGAGAGAGAGAGAGAGAGCCCAUUGAGUAAUACGUCACUUGAGUUGUCAAAAGAGCGACGCCCGACGAGUAGAAAAACGUGUGUAGCCCCCACCAUCACCAUCCCAACCAGAGGCAAAGGCAACACGCAUCCGUCUCCCCGUACGUGUUCCUGUAGCCGGUAUUUCCGCACAAGUUGCUGUCGAUCAGGACGUCGGCGGGUGGCACAAGUUGUUACAUUUCAACAUGUUUCGUUACGCCUUGAAAUCAUUUUGAUACUUGUAUUUUGAUCUCUUUUUUGUGUUAUGGCAUAAAACUGUUUUUUUUUUUUAAGUAGCGUCUUAGUUGAAGUGCAUGUCUGUGUUUUUAGGAGGGUCCAAAACUAUGAGGAGGGGAUGUUUCAUUUUUAUAAACAAUUUUCCAUGGCUGUCAAAAUUUGUAAAUGUAAAAUAAUUUUUUGAUGGGAACGGAAAUUGUAGUUAUUUUUCCUG
rnacentral:lncRNA from 1 species